rnacentral:rRNA from 1 species
GACGUAGGGCGCGAGCGUGUCCGGAUUUAUUGGGCGUAAAGAGCUCGUAGGCGGCUUGUUGCGUCGACUGUGAAAACCUGCGGCUCAACCGUGUGGUCUGCAGUCGAUACGGGCAGGCUGGAGUUCGGUAGGGGAGACUGGAAUUCCUGGUGUAGCGGUGAAAUGCGCAGAUAUCUGGAGGAACACCGGUGGCGAAGGCGGCAUCCUGGACCAAUAUUGACGCUGAGGAGCGAAAGCCAGGGGAGCAAACGGG